GGUUGAAUCAGAGCUGCAGCUGUGGGCCUACACCACAGCCAUAGCAGUGCCUGAUCUGAGCCGCCAGGUCUGCAGUCUACUUUGCAGCUCACUCACGGCAACACGGGCUACUGAGUGAGGCCAGGUAUCAAACCCGCAUCCUCAUGGAUAUUAGUCAGGUUUCUUACUGCUGAGCCGCAAUGGGACCUCCCCCAAGGACAUUUCUUAAUAAACUUCCUGCAUGCUAAUCUCCAUCUCAGAGUCUAUUUCCUGCAAUUUUUUUCUGAGUAUAAACUGAAAAUCCCUUGCCCUGUAGAUGUACAUUCAUCAGCGACAGGGAUGCCAUCAGCCUUACUUUGAACUUGAACUUGGCUUGAGCUUUUCCAUUGAAAUCUUAGAAUAAUCUCAUUUGGAGCAGCCCAACAAGUUAGUGAUAACAUCUCUUGUAAGCACUGAACUGAAAUGCAUUAAAAGGCAGUUUCAUUAAGUGAAAUAAAAAUCUUAAACUUCAGUCUAUAAAAGCCCCCGAAGCAAAGUUAUCAGUGACAGUCUCCAAAUGAGCAUUAAUUUCAUAACAGAAGUCAGCUCCUGGCUAGGGUGAAGUAUUCCUUUUUAACCCUUGAUCCUCUUUCUCUCGUCUCUACCUCAACAGGUACCAAGGCUGAAAACACCUGUGGGGAUAAAGUCUGUCCUAACCCCAUCACCUAAAUGUUCAGAUCCACUGAGUGGAAAGUCAUUUCUGUCCAAGACUGUCUCUUUAUCAGAAGGCUAAAGCUCACCCAUGGAUAGUGUUUGGGAUUGGUCUUGCCUCCCUCAACAGUGCAGUAGAGCUUGGCACUUGCACCAAGUAUGACCACAGGCCUAAGAAUUAGAAGCUGUUUCAAAAUGCUGAUUUUCGUCAUCUCUCUUCCCUAGGACUCUGCCUAGGGCUUGUGAAUCCCCUUUCUCAGGGCCUGGACAUGCUAAUCCAAAGGAUCUCCCAGAUUCUGAAAACUGUCCCAAUCUACAAGUAUCUGAUGUUGCAUUUAAGUCACUGUGGACCUUGAUGCUGAUUGGAUGUAGGAUCUUCUGUGAUUUGCUUCUUGAAUGAAUGCUUUGCUGAAGAUCGAGUGUCAUGAAGAGAAUUGGGCAUCUUUCCCUUAGAAUCUAUUCUCUGCUUGUACAGAGCCCAGAAAGGUGUAGCCAGGAACUGCCCUACUGGUGAGGAAGGAGGCGGGAAGACGCGGGAGCCCUCCCUGCGUACCCUUGAGGCCAGCUGCUGCUUUUGCCCUUUGGGUUGCGCCAGGUUCGGCCUCACCAAUGCCCCGUCACGCACGCGCACUCGCCGCCUCGGCCAUCACAGUACCUGCCAGGUCACAAACCGGUUCCCACCCGCUCGCGCUCUCACCCUGAGGCUCCGCCUUGUCUCACGCUGAUUGGGUGGAGCUCAAGAGGAGGUGUCCAAUCAGCAAUCCCUCCUGCUCAACCUAUUCCCACUUUUCCCGCCCCCUCCCCACCCCACCCUUCUGUCCCCGGCACCUGCCUUCUUUGUGACUGGUGCGCGCCCAGGUCACUCAGUGUGGCGGGGCGAGGCGUG